AAAGGAGCAACAGCUCUAACACAAAAGUUGUUCAAGUCUGGUAUUGGUUCCAAUACAUAUAAGUUUACCAGUCAUCUCAACCUGUCACAUAUCAAUUUUUUAGAUGUUACUGUGUAUAAAUAUCAUAACAAACUGUUGGUCAAGAACUUCAGAAAACCAUCAGAUAAAAAUUCUUUUCUUCAUUAUAACAGCUUCCACCACUUUGGUUUAAAGACCAAUCUUCCAUUUUCACAACUACUUAGACUAAAGCGUAACUCAAGCUCUAAUGAACACUUCAUUCAUGAAAGCCUGACCUUAAGCCAGGAGUUUAGAAGUAGAGGCUAUCCUAAACAUGUCAUCAAAAAGGCAUUAAUUAAAGCUGAAAAAACUGAUAGAACCACCCUACUGAAAGAAUCUGCUAAACCAACUAAAAAUCAAAUUAUCUGGACACAAGAAUUAUCGCAUUACUCCAAACACAUAAUCCAAAUUAUAAAAAAGCACUGGCAUCUUCUUCAAGAUAUUUCAGGUUGUGAUAAAUUACCUAUUUUUGGAAACAGGCGUACUAAAAAUAUUAGAGAAUAUUUAAUCCAUACAGAUUUAAUCACUCCCAUUAGUACACCGAAGAGCACCCUGAGAGGCCAUUAUCCUUGUGGUCACUGUAAGUGUUGUCCUCAAUCUUGGAAGACUAAGGAGAUAUAUAAUCAUAGGAACAAAGUGGGCACCACACUAAAACAUUUUUCUACUUGUAAUAGCAACAAUGUAAUCUACCUCUUGACAUGUGACUGUGAUCUCUGGUAUAUCGGAAAAACAACCAGAUCCUUGAGAAUCAGAAUCUCUGAACAUAAAUCCAGAAUCAAAAAUUUAUCUACAGAAUCUCUUUUAUAUUCACACUUCACCCAAUACAAACAUUCAUCUACCUCAUUUAAAUUUUGUGCUCUGGAAUGCAUCUCUCAAAAACCUUUCAUGGACUUGGAAAAACUAUUAUCCCAAAGGGAAAUGUACUGGAUCUUUAAGUUUAAAACCUUUUCCCCUCAGGGACUUAAUGAAUCACUUAAUUUUAGCUGUUUCCUUUAA
rnacentral:lncRNA from 1 species